rnacentral:misc_RNA from 1 species
GAUGAAGAACGUAGCGAAAUGCGAUAAGUAGUGUGAAUUGCAGAAUUCAGUGAAUCAUCGAAUCUUUGAACGCACAUUGCGCCCUGUGGUAUUCCGCAGGGCAUGCCUGUUCGAGCGUCAUUGACACCCUCAAGUUCUGCUUGGUCUUGGGCGUUUGUGCCUGCCGUUGCGCAGGGACUCGCCUCAAACUCAUUGGCAGCCUGCCUUUGCCGGUCUUUGCACAGCACAGUCGUGCCAAAGCCGCGGUGAGCAGGCGCUCCACAAGCCCUUUUCAGCUUGACCUCGGAUCAGGUAGGAAUACCCGCUGAACUUAAGCAUAUCAAUAAGCGGAGGA